UACGGGGGGGGCAAGCGUUGUUCGGAAUUACUGGGCGUAAAGGGCUCGUAGGUGGCCAACUAAGUCAGACGUGAAAUCCCUCGGCUUAACCGGGGAACUGCGUCUGAUACUGGAUGGCUGGAGUAUGGGAGAGGGAUGCGGAAUUCCAGGUGUAGCGGUGAAAUGCGUAGAUAUCUGGAGGAACACCGGUGGCGAAGGCGGCAUCCUGGACCAUUACUGACGCUGAGGAGCGAAAACCAGGGGAGCAAACGGG
rnacentral:rRNA from 1 species